CUUUGUUCCCAUGUUUGUCCAACUUUUAUUGGCCUUUGUGUUUACUGCUCAUUUGAACAGCACUCUGUGAACCUCAUCUGGUUCGGCAUGAAAACCUGAUUCAUGAAUCAUUUUUUUCUCAGGUGAACCCUCUGAUCCCUAAAAGCUAUGAGUUGGAAAGAGGUCUUUUAAAAAUCUAUGUGUGUGGGAUGUUAAGUAAAAAUUUUGAGACCAAGAGGUCUCUGAAAAAAAGGGUUUUUGGAGCUAGCCAACAGUGAAAGGAGCAAAGGACAGAUUUGCUAAGCUAUCAGCAGUUUGACCAGAUAGUACUUGGAAAAACAUCCACUGGACCUAAAAUGGACCUGAAAUUUUGGAGAGAAUAAACAAACCAUUUACACGGAACCUCCCUUGCCAUGGACCAGAGAAGUGGGGCAGAGUGGAAAUGGGCAAAGCCCUGGGGUAGGAGGCUGCUGCUCUAAGAGAAGAUGCUGGGUCCUGGAAAACUGGCUGAGAAAAUUCAGAACUUGCUUGGAGAUGAGAAAAACACUGCUAUGGGAGAUGCUUGUGAAAUAUUUGAGGAAAAAAGUUUUUUUUUGUUUUGAAAGAUAAAAGUGGAAAAGAGAAACACAUACCACUCAUAUAACAUUUAUAAUUAUAUCAUUAUAUCUAAAG